AUGCAAGUCGAGCGGACAGAUGGGAGCUUGCUCCCUGAUGUUAGCGGCGGACGGGUGAGUAACACGUGGGUAACCUGCCUGUAAGACUGGGAUAACUCCGGGAAACCGGGGCUAAUACCGGAUGGUUGUCUGAACCGCAUGGUUCAGACAUAAAAGGUGGCUUCGGCUACCACUUACAGAUGGACCCGCGGCGCAUUAGCUAGUUGGUGAGGUAACGGCUCACCAAGGCGACGAUGCGUAGCCGACCUGAGAGGGUGAUCGGCCACACUGGGACUGAGACACGGCCCAGACUCCUACGGGAGGCAGCAGUAGGGAAUCUUCCGCAAUGGACGAAAGUCUGACGGAGCAACGCCGCGUGAGUGAUGAAGGUUUUCGGAUCGUAAAGCUCUGUUGUUAGGGAAGAACAAGUGCCGUUCAAAUAGGGCGGCGCCUUGACGGUACCUAACCAGAAAGCCACGGCUAACUACGUGCCAGCAGCCGCGGUAAUACGUAGGUGGCAAGCGUUGUCCGGAAUUAUUGGGCGUAAAGGGCUCGCAGGCGGUUUCUUAAGUCUGAUGUGAAAGCCCCCGGCUCAACCGGGGAGGGUCAUUGGAAACUGGGGAACUUGAGUGCAGAAGAGGAGAGUGGAAUUCCACGUGUAGCGGUGAAAUGCGUAGAGAUGUGGAGGAACACCAGUGGCGAAGGCGACUCUCUGGUCUGUAACUGACGCUG
rnacentral:rRNA from 1 species